rnacentral:rRNA from 1 species
GAUGAACGCUAGCGGCAGGCUUAACACAUGCAAGUCGAGGGGCAGCAUGAGACGGAGAUUCGUCGAAGUCUUGAUGGCGACCGGCGCAAGGGUGCGUAACGCGUGAGCAACUUGCCCGUUUCAGGGGGAUAACCGGUGGAAACGCCGACUAAUACCCCAUAGCAUCAGUUUGAGGCAUCUCUUACUGAUUAAAGAGUUUCGGAAACGGAUAGGCUCGCGUGACAUUAGCUAGAUGGCGGGGUAACGGCCCACCAUGGCGACGAUGUCUAGGGGUUCUGAGAGGAAGGUCCCCCACACUGGAACUGAGACACGGUCCAGACUCCUACGGGAGGCAGCAGUGAGGAAUAUUGGUCAAUGGUCUGACGACUGAACCAGCCAUGCCGCGUGAAGGUGACGGCCCUAUGGGUCUUAAACUUCUUUUGUAAGGGGAGCAAAUAAGGCGUACGUGUACGUCGAUGAGAGUACCUUACGAAUAAGCAUCGGCUAAACUCCGUGCCAG